GACGAACGCUGGCGGCGUGCUUAACACAUGCAAGUCGAACGGAAAGGCCCUGCUUUUGUGGGGUGCUCGAGUGGCGAACGGGUGAGUAACACGUGAGUAACCUGCCCUUGACUUUGGGAUAACUUCAGGAAACUGGGGCUAAUACCGGAUAGGAGCUCCUGCUGCAUGGUGGGGGUUGGAAAGUUUCGGCGGUUGGGGAUGGACUCGCGGCUUAUCAGCUUGUUGGUGGGGUAGUGGCUUACCAAGGCUUUGACGGGUAGCCGGCCUGAGAGGGUGACCGGCCAGAGUGGGACAGAGAUACGGCAGAGGCGCCUACGGGAGGCAGCAGUGGGGAAUAUUGCACAAGGGGCGGAGUGCUGAUGCAGCAACGCCGCGUGCGGGAUGACGGCCUGCGGGUUGUAAACCGAUGACGCCUGUGACGAAGCGUGAGGGAAGGUAAUGGGUAAAGAAGAACAGGCUAAAUAAGGG
rnacentral:rRNA from 1 species